rnacentral:misc_RNA from 1 species
GAAAAAAUGUCCACAGAAUGGGAGUCGAAGAAGGUGGCUAAAGUAGGAUAACGAUCAAACCCAAAAUCUGCCACAUCCUUGCUUACGCAAUCCCACACUCUAAACCACCAAAUCUCACACGUUUGAUUGUUUGCUACACCGAGGAAUCUGCCUUAAAAAGACCAAUUAGACCCCACUAAUAUCUUGGUCACUAAGCCAGCCAUCAACGAAGGCAAACUCUAUUUGAAUUCCCCAUAAAUUCUUGUCUAAUUACACAUUCUAUAGAAGCCUAUAAAUUCAGUUCCUCCAAACCUCAUCUUCUAUCUUCAACGAGUUUGAUUAUUAGCUAUAUCGAUCCAUGGCAACAGGAGCUGCUUUUGGAGGGUCUACUCUGGCGGAAGCUUAUACCAUGAGAAAGCUGUACAAGGAAAAGAUGAAGAGAGAAGCAGCAGAGAAAGGGUUUGUUUCUGCUGCUGAUUUAAAGGAAAGCAAGAACUCCUCAUCCAGUGGUUGCUUCUUCCGACGAGUGUUCAAGAAGGGUCAUUCUGCUAAAGUCUCGUCGUCCUUCGAUUCUCAAGGAAAUCACGUUCAAGAAAAAGAGAAAUGGGAUGAUCAAAGUUAAUUAGUCUCAUGAAAAAUUCAAAAAGAGAUUUUGUAAUUUGUAUCUAUGUUCUUUUACACUGCCAGUGCUGUGUUGAAGACAUGUAGUUUAACUUUGAUUAGUAUUAAAAAAUAAUUUUUUAAAUAUAAUAAAAUAAUUUUAUUUUAUUAAUAAAAAUGUGAG